GUGCCAGCCGCCGCGGUAAUACGUAGGGUGCAGGCGUUAAUCGGAAUUACUGGGCGUAAAGCGUGCGCAGGCGGUUUCUUAAGUCAGAUGUGAAAGCCCCGGGCUUAACCUGGGAACUGCGUUUGAAACUGGGAGACUUGAGUGUGGCAGAGGGGGGUGGAAUUCCACGUGUAGCAGUGAAAUGCGUAGAUAUGUGGAGGAACACCGAUGGCGAAGGCAGCCCCCUGGGUUAACACUGACGCUCAUGCACGAAAGCGUGGGGAGCAAACAGGAUUAGAAACCCCCGUAGUCC
rnacentral:rRNA from 1 species